rnacentral:rRNA from 1 species
AUUGAACGCUGGCGGCAUGCCCUACACAUGCAAGUCGAACGGCAGCACGGGGGCAACCCUGGUGGCGAGUGGCGAACGGGUGAGUAAUGCAUCGGAACGUGUCCUCUUGUGGGGGAUAACCAGUCGAAAGAUUGGCUAAUACCGCAUGAGAUCGCAAGAUGAAAGCGGGGGACCGCAAGGCCUCGCGCGAGAGGAGCGGCCGAUGCCGGAUUAGCUAGUUGGUGGGGUAACGGCCUACCAAGGCGACGAUCCGUAGCUGGUCUGAGAGGACGACCAGCCACACUGGGACUGAGACACGGCCCAGACUCCUACGGGAGGCAGCAGCGGGGAAUUUUGGACAAUGGGCGCAAGCCUGAUCCAGCCAUGCCGCGUGUGUGAAGAAGGCCUUCGGGUUGUAAAGCACUUUCGGACGGAACGAAAUCGCGCGGACGAACAUUCCGCGUGGAUGACGGUACCGUAAGAAGAAGCACCGGCUAACUACGUGCCAGCCGCCGCAGUAA